CUCUACUAUUAUCUAGUAUUACUAUAUUUUUCCAUUAACAUAAAAAAGCAUAUUCUUUCUCAUUUUUAUUGAAUAAAUAAAAGUAAUAAAUAAGCAAAAUUUUCAUUUUUAUCUAGAAUUUCAUUUUUAUCUAGAAUUUAAAUUGUUAAAAAAAAACUUCAUAAAAGAUUAGGAAAAGUAAAAGUAUAUGAUAUAGAAACCUAUAAUAUAAAUGAAUACAAAUAAAAACAAACAAAUCGAACCAAAUUAUAAAAAGUACUUGUUAUUUUUAAAGUUUAAAGAAACUAUGUAAGGCAAAUAGUACUAAAUAAAAAAAGGAGCAAUAACGCCCUCUUGUUUUAUCAAGAGGGAAGCUAUUGCUCCUUUUUUAGUUCAAAAACUCCUAUACAAUCAGACCAAAGUC
rnacentral:misc_RNA from 1 species